rnacentral:rRNA from 1 species
AGCCAACCAAUAGCCCAACCAUCACCCCAAAAACAAACUAACCAUAAACAAACCAUUUGCCAAGAGUAGUAUAUGAGAUAGAAC